GCCGGACGGUGGUGGCGCACGCCUUUAAUCCCAGCACUUGGGAGGCAGAGGCAGGUGGAUUUCUGAGUUCGAGGCCAGCCUGGUCUACAGAGUGAGUUCCAGGACAGCAAGGGCUACACAGAGAAACCAUAUUUCUCAUGCCAUAUAAAAAUUAACUCAAAAUACAUGAAAGCUCUGACUUGGGAAGAGGGGGUGUUUCAAGACAGAGGUUUCUCUGUGUAACCCUGGCUGUCAUGAAACUCUCUCUGUAGGCCAGGCUGGCCUCAACCUCACAGAGAUCCGCCUGCCU
rnacentral:lncRNA from 1 species